GCAGAUGUGGCGGAAUUGGCAUACGCGUAUGAUUCAGGUUCAUAUUCACGUAAGUGAGUGAGGGUUCAAGUCCCUUCAUCUGCA
rnacentral:tRNA from 1 species